UACGUAGGGGGCUAGCGUUGUCCGGAAUCAUUGGGCGUAAAGCGUGCGUAGGCGGUUCAUUAAGUCGGUUGUGAAAUCCCUGGGCUUAACCUGGGAACUGCAGUCGAUACUGGUGGACUAGAGUACGGUAGAGGGUGGCGGAACUCCGGGUGUAGCGGUGAAAUGCGUAGAUAUCAGGAAGAACACCCGUGGCUAAGGCGGCUCUCUAGUACGGUACUGACGCUGAGACGCGAAAGCGUGGGGAGCGAACAGG
rnacentral:rRNA from 1 species